rnacentral:rRNA from 1 species
GAUGAACGCUGGCGGCGUGCUUAACACAUGCAAGUCGAACGAUGAAGCCCAGCUUGCUGGGUGGAUUAGUGGCGAACGGGUGAGUAACACGUGAGCAACCUGCCCCUGACUCUGGGAUAAGCGCUGGAAACGGCGUCUAAUACUGGAUAUGUCCCGUCACCGCAUGGUGUGCGGGUGGAAAGAUUUUUCGGUUGGGGAUGGGCUCGCGGCCUAUCAGCUUGUUUGUGAGGUAAUGGCUCACCAAGGCGUCGACGGGUAGCCGGCCUGAGAGGGUGACCGGCCACAAUGGGACUGAGACACGGCCCAGACUCCUACGGGAGGCAGCAGUGGGGAAUAUUGCACAAUGGGCGGAAGCCUGAUGCAGCAACGCCGCGUGAGGGAUGACGGCCUUCGGGUUGUAAACCUCUUUUAGCAGGGAAGAAGCGAAAGUGACGGUACCUGCAGAAAAAGCACCGGCUAACUACGUG